rnacentral:tRNA from 1 species
GGGAUCUUAGCUCAGCUGGGAGAGCAUCUGCCUUACAAGCAGAGGGUCAUAGGUUCGAGACCUAUAGGUCCCA